UGGUGUAUUCUUUGUUAACAUAGUGAAUAAAAAGAUCCUAUCUCUCUUCUCCCGUGGACGAAGGCUUUCAAGCCAAACCACGUAACAUUGUUUGUUCUUUGUUUUGACCUGGUAUCAAAGCAGGAAGAAGGCAAGGUCGAUGCCAUUGGUUUGAGUUGUUUGUCGAUCUAGUUUUUACACCAAAGGUUAUCCGAGUAAAUGUUUC
rnacentral:lncRNA from 1 species